rnacentral:ncRNA from 1 species
GUGAGCCUAGUGAUAGGAGACUAUCUAGCUUGGUUCGGAGAGCACUUGUUGGGUUAAAUAUUUAUUUGUUACUAAAU